AUUUAAAUAGUUUAUAAAAAUAUUGAUUUGUGGAAUCAAAGAUGUGAAUUAUCAUUUUAAAUA
rnacentral:tRNA from 1 species